rnacentral:rRNA from 1 species
UACGUAGGGUGCGAGCGUUAAUCGGAAUUACUGGGCGUAAAGCGUGCGCAGGCGGAUUAUUAAGCAAGACGUGAAAGCCCCGGGCUUAACCUGGGAAUGGCGUUUUGAACUGGUAGUCUAGAGUGCGUCAGAGGGGGGUGGAAUUCCACGUGUAGCAGUGAAAUGCGUAGAGAUGUGGAGGAACACCGAUGGCGAAGGCAGCCCCCUGGGAUGACACUGACGCUCAUGUACGAAAGCGUGGGUAGCAAACAGG